AAGGUCCUGCCUGCCCAGUGAAAACUUUAAACGGCCGCGGUAUUCUAACCGUGCAAAGGUAGCGUAAUCACUUGUCUUCUAAAUAAAGACCAGUAUGAACGGCUAAAUGAGGACAAAACUGUCUCCUACGGCCAAUCAGUGAAAUUGAUCUCCCAGUCCAAAAGCUGGAAUACUAACAUAAGACGAGAAGACCCUGUGGAGCUUGAAGUCUAUCUAGUAAAACACACUAGCACAAACUUUAAGUUGGGGCGACUUCGGAAAAAAACAAAACUUCCGAGCACAGAACCACCAGUUCUAACCAGGGCAAACAAGCCGAAGCAAAAACUGACCCAGUCACACUGAUCAACGAACCAAGUUACCCCAGGGAUAACAGCGCCAUCCUCUUCAAGAGUCCAUAUCGACAAGAGGGUUUACGACCUCGAUGUUGGAUCAGGGCACCCCGAUGGUGCAACCGCUAUCAAAGGUUCGUUUGUUCAACGAUUAACAGCCCUACGUGAUCUGAG
rnacentral:rRNA from 1 species